UACGGGGGGGGCAAGCGUUGUUCGGAAUUACUGGGCGUAAAGGGCUCGUAGGUGGCCAACUAAGUCAGACGUGAAAUCCCUCGGCUUAACCGGGGAACUGCGUUUGAAACUACGGAGCUAGAGUGCGGCAGAGGGGGGUGGAAUUCCACGUGUAGCAGUGAAAUGCGUAGAUAUGUGGAGGAACACCGAUGGCGAAGGCAGCCCCCUGGGCCGACACUGACGCUCAGGCACGAAAGCGUGGGGAGCAAACAGG
rnacentral:rRNA from 1 species